rnacentral:rRNA from 1 species
AGUGAACGCUGGCGGUAGGUCUAACACAUGCAAGUCGAACGGCAGCACAGGAGAGCUUGCUCUCUGGGUGGCGAGUGGCGGACGGGUGAGGAAUACAUCGGAAUCUACUCUGUCGUGGGGGAUAACGUAGGGAAACUUACGCUAAUACCGCAUACGACCUACGGGUGAAAGCAGGGGACCUUCGGGCCUUGCGCGAUUGGAUGAGCCGAUGUCGGAUUAGCUAGUUGGCGGGGUAAAGGCCCACAAAGGCGACGAUCCGUAGCUGGUCUGAGAGGAUGAUCAGCCACACUGGAACUGAGACACGGUCCAGACUCCUACGGGAGGCAGCAGUGGGGAAUAUCGGACAAUGGGCGCAAGCCUGAUCCAGCCAUACCGCGUGGGUGAAGAAGGCCUUCGGGUUGUAAAGCCCUUUUGUUGGGAAAGAAAUCCAGCUGGCUAAUACCCGGUUGGGAUGACAGUACCCAAAGAAUAAGCACCGGCUAACUUCGUGCCAGCCGCCGCCGUAA